CAGAAAAUAGUUUAUAAAAAUUUUAAUUUUGGGGAUUAAUGAUAAGUAUUUAAUACUUUUUUCUGA
rnacentral:tRNA from 1 species